UACCCUGGUAGUCCACACUGUAGACGAUGAAUGCCAGACGUCGGCCACGCAUGCUGUUCGCGGUCACACCUAACGGUCUAAGCAUUCCGCCUGGGGAGUACGCUCGCAAGCUUAAAACUCAAAGGAAGUGACGGGUGCCCGCACAAGCGAUGGAGCAUGUGGUCUAAUUCGAAGCAUCGCGCAGAACCUUACCAACCCUUGACAUCCUCGUCGCGGUUACCGGAGACGGUUUCCUUCAGUUCGGCUGCACGAGUGACAGGUGCUGCAUGGCUGUCGUCAGCUCGUGUCGUGAGAUGUUCGGUUAAGUCCGGCUACGAGCGCAACCCACACCCUUAGUUGACAGCAGUCCGGCUGGGCACUCUAGAAGUACUGCCCGAGAUAAGCGGGACGAAGCUGUGGAUGACGUCAAGUCCUCAUGGCCAUUACGGGUUGGGCUACACACGUGCUACAAUGGCAGUGACAAUGGGGUAAUCCCAAUAUACUGUCUCAGUUCGGAUUGUCGUCUGCAACUCGACGGCAUGAAG
rnacentral:rRNA from 1 species